rnacentral:rRNA from 1 species
GACGAACGCUGGCGGCGUGCCUAAUACAUGCAAGUCGAGCGGAUCUUCAUUAGCUUGCUUUUGAAGAUCAGCGGCGGACGGGUGAGUAACACGUGGGCAACCUGCCUGUAAGACUGGGAUAACUUCGGGAGACCGGAGCUAAUACCGGAUAAUCCUUUUCCUCUCAUGAGGAAAAGCUGAAAGACGGUUUCGGCUGUCACUUACAGAUGGGCCCGCGGCGCAUUAGCUAGUUGGUGAGGUAACGGCUCACCAAGGCGACGAUGCGUAGCCGACCUGAGAGGGUGAUCGGCCACACUGGGACUGAGACACGGCCCAGACUCCUACGGGAGGCAGCAGUAGGGAAUCUUCCGCAAUGGACGAAAGUCUGACGGAGCAACGCCGCGUGAGCGAUGAAGGCCUUCGGGUCGUAAAGCUCUGUUGUCAGGGAAGAACAAGUACCGGAGUAACUGCCGGUACCUUGACGGUACCUGACCAGAAAGCCACGGCUAACUACGUGCCAGCAGCCGCAGUAA